CCUGGACGUGGGUGGGGCUUCUGGGGCCUCUUCCCGGGGUGGAGUUGGCAGUGAGUGCAGUUCCUCCGCGCAGUCUCCGGCAGACCCUGGCCGUCUGCGGGUCACCGCCGCUCUGCAGUUGGUGGAAGCCUGCGCGAUUAAGAAAUGGAUAAUUUGAGAGAGAGAGAGAGAAAACACAAGCAGGGGAGUGGCAGGCAGAGGGAGAAGAAGCACACUCCUCACAGAGCAGAGAGCUCGAUCCCUGGACCCUGGAUCAUGACCUGAGCCAAAGAGAGAGAUCACAAGUAGGCAGAAAGGAAGGCAGAGAGAGAGAAGGGCAGAGGAAGCGGGCUUCCUGCUGAGCAGAGAGCCGGAUGCGGGACCUGAGAUCAUGACCUGAGUUGAAGACAGAGGCUUAACCCACUGAGUCACCCAGGGAUCGUGUCUGGAUUUUUGAAGAAUUUGAAGUCUAACAAGCAGUUAUGCAAGUUUACUAGCAAUGCAGGAAGCAGGCAGGUUAUCACCUGUCUUCUGAUUCCAAAAAUAGAGAUCUUAAAGUAGAUAAGAAUGAAGACUUUGGAGCCAGAUUGCCUCAUUCCAAAUACCAGCUCUGGUGUUUACUAGUGAUGUGGCCUUGGGCAAAUUAUUCAAACUCUAUGUCUCGAUUUCCUUAUUAAUACAGUGGGAGAAAUAAUCA